GUGCUCAAUUUGGCAGCAUAUAUACUAAAAUUGGAAUGAUGCAGAGAAGAUCAACAUGGUCCAUGUGCAAGGAUGACAUGCAAAUUUGUGAAGUAUUUCAUAUUUUU
ensembl:snRNA U6 U6 spliceosomal RNA